AAUCAACGCUGGCGGCGUGCCUAACACAUGCAAGUCGAACGCGAAAGCCCGCAAGGGUAAGUAGAGUGGCGCACGGGUGAGUAACACGUGGACAACCUGCCUUCGAGUGGGGAAUAACCUUCCGAAAGGAGGGCUAAUACCGCAUAACACCUCGGGACACAAGUUCUGGGGUUGAAAAGAGCAAUUUGCUCGAAGAGGGGUCCGCGCCCGAUUAGCUAGUUGGUGAGGUAACGGCUCACCAAGGCUCGAUCAGUAGCCGUCCUGAGAGGGAGCACGGCCACACUGGAACUGAGACACGGUCCAGACUCCUACGGGAGGCAGCAGUGGGGAAUUUUUGGCAAUGGGCGAAAGCCUGACCAAGCAACGCCGCGUGGGUGAUGAAGUAUCUUGGUACGUAAAACCCUUUCGGCAGGGACGAACCUAAUGACGGUACCUGCGGAAGAAGCCCCGGCUAACUCCGUGCCAGCAGCCGCCGCUGU
rnacentral:rRNA from 1 species